CAGAGGCUACCAGAACAACAAAAGGCCCAGUUCUUCCACAGAAUGGCCAGAACACAGGCUGCUUUACUGCAGGUUUCCCUGCAUGCUGCCCUGCUAAUGAGCCUCAACCAUCCCUUGGUGGGACCAGCUCUAGAGAUAAGAAACCAGUUUGGUUUCUGUGCCCAUUCUGUCCUUGGCCUCU
rnacentral:sRNA from 1 species